rnacentral:rRNA from 1 species
UACGUAGGGUGCAAGCGUUAAUCGGAAUUACUGGGCGUAAAGCGUGCGCAGGCGGUUCUAUAAGACAGAUGUGAAAUCCCCGGGCUCAACCUGGGAACUGCAUUUGUGACUGUAGAGCUGGAGUGCGGCAGAGGGGGAUGGAAUUCCGCGUGUAGCAGUGAAAUGCGUAGAUAUCGGAAGGAACACCGGUGGCGAAAGCGGCGCGCUGGACUCCCUACUGACGCUGAGGCACGAAAGCCAGGGGAGCAAACGGG